AUGAUGACCGAAGUCGAAGCUCUUAGGAAGGCUGUGGCCGAGGCCAAAAGAAAGGCAGCCGCAGAGCGGGCUCUUCGUGAGAAGCAUGAGGCCAGGGUUAUUGAAGCUGAGCAGGAGCUUCAAGAGGCCGUGAAGAAAUGCGAGACCUUGGAGCAGAGUUUAACGGAGAAAGAAUCCGAACUCACCAAGGCUCAUCAGGCCGCGAGCGAUGCCCGGGGGGGAAUCCAAAGCACCCUGCAGGAGAUCCAGGAGGCGGGGAAAAUUGCGGCGGGUAAGGCUUUUUUCCAUGUAAAGCAAGUAUUCGAGGAGAAAAUCAUGUAUCUAAUUUUGAGUUCGGAUUUCUCCAGGGGUAUUUGCGGAGCUACCCCGCAGCAUAUCGGAUGCCGCCCAAUUCUACUAAGCCGAAGAAAGGAACACUGCGGAUAA
rnacentral:rRNA from 1 species